ensembl:lncRNA
CUGUGUAUUCAGCUCGAAGUCAUACACGGACAAUGCGAUCUCUGAGCUCGAUAUAAAACAUGGCAUAACGGUAAAUAACCGUUGAACUAUACAUACAAGAUUUUGGCGCGCUCUAGUGGCCAAGCGAAAUCACCAUCAUCAUCAACAGCAGCGAUGGCUCAAACAAAGGAAAUGCACAAAUGGACACCACAGGAGACCAGACGCCUCAUUAAUUUCAGGUCGACCAGGGACAAUGAGUUUCUCAAGUCAAAAAUGAUCGCCCGAAAACAGUGGGAGCUUUUUCUGGAAGAAAUGGGGAUGGAGGGAAAAGUUACAAGGCAACAGGCUUCUAAGAAGUGGGAAAACCUCAAAAAGAAGUACAAGGAUUUGAGGACUUCCAAAACUGGGUCGGGGACGGAAAGUGGGGAGGUGACUGUGGCGACGUGGCAGUAUUACGAUUUGAUGCAUGAGGUUCUUGGUGCCCGGCCAGCAAUCGACCCACCAGUCCUUGUGUCCUCGAUUCAAGAAGACCCCAUGGUUAUCCUCAUGGAGAUGGUGGAGCCCUACAACCAAGCACCCCCGACAGCAGCCAGCACCCCAGUACACCCGCCGACCACAUCAAUCAUGCGAAGGAGGUCCAAAACAGUUGCAGAACUCCUGGCUGAGGAGGCACUUCAGGAGCAGAGGCGCCAUGAAGAGAGUGAGGCCAAGACAGAUCGCUUUCUUGAUCUCUUUGAGAGGAUGGUCAACAAAUUAUAAUUAUUGAUUUUUGUUGUUCCUAUGUUUUUUGUAUGCUAUUUAUUAUUCCUAUUUAUUAUUGUUGUAUAUAUUUCUAUUUAUUAUUUUAUGCUAUUUAUUAUUCCUA